UGGCCUGAAAUAGGUGCCAAUAAC
rnacentral:siRNA from 1 species